UACGUAGGGGGCAAGCGUUGUCCGGAUUUAUUGGGCGUAAAGAGCGUGUAGGCGGCCUGAAAGGUCAGCUGUGAAAACUCGAGGCUCAACCUCGAGACGUCGGUUGAAACCAUCUGGCUAGAGUCCGGAAGAGGAGUGUGGAAUUCCCGGUGUAGCGGUGAAAUGCGCAGAUAUCAGGAGGAACACCGGUGGCGAAGGCGGUUCUCUGGGAAUAUCCUGACGCUGAGGAGCGAAAGUGUGGGGAGCGAACAGG
rnacentral:rRNA from 1 species